AAUUGUUAUCAUAUGACUUCACACCCCUCCUCAACAAAAAAGAAGUUUUUCCGAAAUGCACCCAAAAACUAAGAACGGGUGUCGAUUCAGGGACCUUUUGGAAGCUCAGAACAACAUUCAGUAAAAUCGGACCAGCUCCUUCCCCAUACAAAAUUUUUCAUUUCAUGAAAUUUCAUACACCCUUCUGAAAUCGUUUUGUCACAAAAGUUCGGUGAGUGGACAUAUUUUGAUCGAAGUUAAUUUUUAUCUUAUAGUUAGAGGUCAUACCUUUCU